UCUUACUGAUUUGCAAAAGCUCAUUGCAUACUGGGAAGGUAAACCCUCUGCGGCAGAGGACCCUUUCUGCCUCCGCUGGUGGCUGCAGCCCCACGCCAGCCUGGGUUCUGCUGGUCCCACAGUCGUGGAAGAAGGCAGUGAAGAGCUUGGUGCCUCGUAGGAGGGCGCGUGUCAGGGCCCAGGCGAGCAGCUCAGAGAGGCAGCCCCUGCCACGCCCCUGAGCAGGCAUCUCUGGCACCGGCUCCGAGUGGGGAAGGAGAACAAGUAAUUAAGAUGACAUUUGUGAGUACUAAUUUGGAUCACACUUAUGUGUAUGUGUUGGAGAGCUGCGAGCCAAAACAUGCAAAGCCAGCUUUUCAUUGAGGAGCAAAUGAAAACUACAGAA